rnacentral:rRNA from 1 species
CCUACGGGUGGCAGCAGUGAGGAAUAUUGGUCAAUGGACGAGAGUCUGAACCAGCCAAGUAGCGUGAAGGAUGACUGCCCUAUGGGUUGUAAACUUCUUUUAUAUGAGAAUAAAAUGUUCCACGUGUGGGAUUUUGUAUGUACCAUAUGAAUAAGGAUCGGCUAACUCCGUGCCAGCAGCCGCGGUAAUACGGAGGAUCCGAGCGUUCUCCGGAUUUAUUGGGUUUAAAGGGAGCGUAGGUGGAUUGUUAAGUCAGUUGUGAAAGUUUGCGGCUCAACCGUAAAAUUGCAGUUGAAACUGGCAGUCUUGAGUACAGUAGAGGUGGGCGGAAUUCGUGGUGUAGCGGUGAAAUGCUUAGAUAUCACGAAGAACUCCGAUUGCGAAGGCAGUUCACUGGACUGCAACUGACACUGAGGCUCGAAAGUGUGGGUAUCAAACAGGAUUAGAUACCCUGGUAGUC